UACGAAGGGGGCUAGCGUUGCUCGGAUUGACUGGGCGUAAAGGGCGCGUGGGCGGUUCGUACAGUCAGACGUGAAAUUCCUGGGCUCAACCUGGGGGCUGCGUUUGAUACGUGCGGACUUGAGUGCGGAAGAGGGUCGUGGAAUUCCCAGUGUAGAGGUGAAAUUCGUAGAUAUUGGGAAGAACACCGGUGGCGAAGGCGGCGACCUGGUCCGAUACUGACGCUGAGGCGCGAAAGCGUGGGGAGCAAACAGG
rnacentral:rRNA from 1 species